GAGCUGAUACCUUCUAAAGGUACAUCUACACUAAGGGAUUAUUCCGAUUUUACAUAAACUGGUUUUAGAAAACAGAUUGUAAAAAGUCAAGUGUCCGCGGACACACUAAGCACAUUAAUUCGGCGGUGUGCGUCCAUGGUCCGAGGCUAACGU